rnacentral:rRNA from 1 species
ACAUGCAAGUCGAACGGUAACAGGUCUUCGGAUGCUGACGAGUGGCGGACGGGUGAGUAAUGUAUAGGUAUGUGCCCCAUAGACUAGGAUAGCCACUGGAAACGGUGAUUAAUACUGGAUACUCCUUACGAGGGAAAGAUUUAUCGCUAUGGGAUCGGCCUAUAUUGUAUCAGCUAGUUGGUGAGGUAAAGGCUCACCAAGGCAAUGACACAUAACUGGUCUGAGAGGAUGAUCACACACACUGGAACUGAGACACGGUCCAGACUCCUUCGGGAGGCAGCAGUGGGGAAUAUUACACAAUGGAGGAAACUCUGAUGUAGCAACGCCGCGUGGAGGAUGACACAUUUCGGUGCGUAAACUCCUUUUAUUAGGGAAGAUAAUGACGGUACCUAAUGAAUGAGCACCAGCUAACCCCGUGCCAGCAGCAGCGGUAAUACGGAGGGUGCAAGCGUUACUCGGAAUCACUGGGGGUGACGCGCGCGUAGGCGGUAUAUUAAGUUGGAUGUGAAAUCCACUGGCUCAACCAGUGAACUGCAUCCAAAACUGAUAGACUAGAGUCUGGAAGGGGAAGAUGGAAUUAGUGGUGUAGGGGGUAAAUCCGUAGGGGAUCAUAAGGAAUACCAAAAGCGAAGGCGAUCUUCUGGAACAGUACUGACGCUGAGGCGCGAAAGCGUGGGUAGCAAACAGGAUUAGAUACCCUGGUAGUCCACGCCCUAAACGAUGAAUGUUAGUCGUCGGGUAGCAAGUCUAUUCGGUGAUGCAGUUAACACAUUAAACAUUCCGCCUGGGGAGUACGGUCGCAAGAUUAAAACUCAAAGGAAUAGACGGGGACCCGCACAAGUGGUGGAGCAUGUGGUUUAAUUCGAAGAUACGCGAAGAACCUUACCUAGCCUUGACAUUGAUAGAAUCCGAUAGAGAUAUUGGAGUGCCAGUUUACUGGAGCUUGAAAACAGGUGCUGCACGGCUGUCGUCAGCUCGUGUCGUGAGAUGUUGGGUUAAGUCCCGCAACGAGCGCAACCCUCGUCACUAGUUACUAACGAUUCGGUCGAGGACUCUAGUGAGACUGCCUUCGUAAGGAGGAGGAAGGUGAGGACGACGUCAAGUCAUCAUGGCCCUUACGGCUAGGGCUACACACGUGCUACAAUGGUUAGGACAAUGAGACGCAAUACCGCGAGGUGGAGCAAAUCUAUAAACCUAAUCUCAGUUCGGAUUGUUCUCUGCAACUCGAGAACAUGAAGCUGGAAUCACUAGUAAUCGUAGAUCAGCAAUGCUACGGUGAAUACGUUCCCGGGUCUUGUACUCACCGCCCGUCACACCAUGGGAGUUGAUUUCACCCGAAGCGGGGAAGCUAAACCGGCUACCCUCCACGGUGGGAUCAGCGACUGGGGUGAAGUCGUAACAAGGUAACC